ACUACGGGUGGCAGCAGUGAGGAAUAUUGGUCAAUGGCCGGAAGGCUGAACCAGCCAAGCCGCGUGAAGGACGAAGGUGCCAAGCAUUGUAAACUUCUUUUGUCAAGGGACAAAAUCAGGCUCGAGAGCCUGCCCGAGGGUACUUGAAGAAAAAGCAUCGGCUAACUCCGUGCCCGCAGCCGCGGUAAUACGGGGGAUGCGAGCGUUAGCCGGAUUUAUUGGGUUUAAAGGGUGCGUAGGCUGAUUGUUAAGUCAGCGGUAAAAGGUCCGGGCUCAACCCUGGCCGGCCGUUGAAACUGGGGAUCGUUAGUGGGCGAGAAGUAUGCGGAAUGCGUGGUGUAGCGGUGAAAUGCAUAGAUAUCACGCAGAACUCCGAUUGCGAAGGCAGCAUACCGGCGCCCGACUGACGCUGAGGCACGAAAGCGUGGGGAUCGAACAGGAUUAGAUACCCGAGUAGUC
rnacentral:rRNA from 1 species